AGGCACGUUAGUCAGGGAUUAAAAGCCUGACCUUAAUCCGAGCCUUGCCAUUUAAGAUCUGAAAUGUGAGGGACCGUCGGCCUGACAAGUGGCUCUGUUUGCUGCUGAACAAAAACAGAAUUGGAAACAGACCCUUCCUUGUUCUCAGCGAGUUCGGCGAUCUUCAUGGGAAACCAUAGCCCUCUUCUGUCAUGGAUGGAGGUACUCAGUGACAGAUUAGGCCUUGGCUACCUUUGGCUCAUAUUUGUAUUGGUAGGAAGAGAACACCUGUCAUGAAACAGUCACCUGCCACCUAGAAUCACGAGUUCAGAAGGAUGGGUGCACCCAUGUCUACACAGAGCCUCCCAUUGCCCGUUCCUGGCACACUCCCCCCAGCUAUCACUCCGCACCAAAUUGUGCCAGCAAGUGUGACAGUUUUGUGUUUGUUUCUUGUUUGUUUUUAAUCAACUAGUGUAAUGCUGCCAGAGCCUGCCUUGGCAGCCCUUCUCUGCUCAUUGAUAAAGCCUCUUCAUUCCCAAUUGUAAGCUGUAUCCUGGCCUAGAUUUGCAGAUAGAUGUUGCCUACACUCUAAAGAAUUUUACGAGGCUCAUGUUGCUAGUCUGGCUAGGAGGAAGCAGGCUUUGUCACAAAAUACAAUCAUUUCCACCUAAUGAUUAAAAUCACUGAUUUCAAUACUC